AUUGAACGCUGGCGGCAGGCCUAACACAUGCAAGUCGAACGAGCCGCGGACGGGUGAGUAAUGUAUGGGACACUGACUGAUGGAGGGGGAUAACUACUGGAAACGGUAACUCAUACCGCAUAGCUUCGGAUGUGCCCGUAUGGGAUUAGCGAGUAGGUGGGGUAAAGGCUUACCUAGGCGACGAACCCUAGCUGGUCUGAGAGGAUGAACAGCCACACUGGAACUGAGACACGGUCCAGACUCCUACGGGAGGCAGCAGUGGUGAAUAUUGCACAAUGGGCGCAAGCCUGAUGCAGCCAUGCCGCGUGUAUGAAGAAGGCCUUCGGGUUGUAAAGUACUUUCAGCGGGGAGGCGUUACCCGCAGAAGAAGCACCGGCUAACUCCGUGCCAGCCGCCGCGGUAAUAC
rnacentral:rRNA from 1 species